GCAAAAGUGAAGAAGGAUUUCAUUCAAUGGCCCCAUUUGCGCCCGCCACACCCACUCAAAGACUCACCUAGGACUACAACAUAUCCAAAGGGCAUCAAGAUCGGUGAUUCUGUCGGUGAAGGGUUGUCCUCCUAAGCCAAAAAAUAACCCAUCGUUGUUUGUAUCAAUCGGCACAAUUAAAAUUUAUGGAAUGACUGGGUCAUCUAGCAAAGGAGACUAAAAACUCUGUAAACAACAACAUCUUAAAUCCUGUAUGCAUAUGUACACGUACAUACAAACAUAAAAUCAUGUCACUCCAAUUUUAAUCAGAAUACAUAUGAUCGAUGUGUGAUAUCCUGAAAAAUAUUGACAAAUUAUUAAUGACAAAACCAUGGCAUUUUUUAUUUCCUGCCAGUCUACAGUUGUAUUUAUCACAACUGAAUCUCUUUUUCAAAAUAUGCAUAUGACCUAAGAAACUAAAGUGGUCAUGGGUUCCGGGAAUAGUCGGGAGCUGGAUGAUAGAUCUCAUUUUCAAGACUCCUCACCACAUUCGGGAGAAUCAUAUUGGGGUCCAUUGUCCGUCCGUUCGGUGGUCAUCGCUGCUGCUCCAGUGACUUAUUCCGUUGGCAAAGCGACUGGAGCAGCGUUGGCAGCAUCGCUUUCAGGGAUUUCUUCACCCAGUAUCGGAGUCGUCGUGGUCACUGGAGGUACAUGUGCAGCAAUUUGUGCCUUAGUAGCUGCCAGUAAUAAAAAUAACCAUGAAAAAUCAGAUUGAUGACGAGCAGACGCCAAAGUUGCACAAGGCAAAAGCAAAUAAAAAACGAGGCGAAGGUUUUAAAAAAUGUCGCCAUAUGUUAAAAGUCCAAUAUUUAGUCCAAGCAUUAAUGCAAAAAUAAGGUCUCAUUCUAAUUUCAAUAUUGUGAUUUAUAUAAUUAUGUGUGUAUGUAUCUCCCUAUCAAACUUUUAAAAGUAUUUAGAUUUCAUUCAUUAAUUUUAAAAAAAUACUCAGACUCGAAGCUUUGAAACUCUGUCAUACUUGUCUGGAUUAUUUUUUUUUAUCAAUAGGAUUACUGUUGCAUAUCUAGUUGCGAUGACGAUGAAUUACCAGAAUUACCAAUACUUACAAAUAUCUAAUACAAAUAAUGUGAUAUUAAAUCGCGGAGAUUUUUAAAACUUUUGCAUAAUGUGGUCGGUAAAUUAAUGAAAAUAAAUAAAUAAAUAUGUACGUACGUAUUUAUGUAUGUAUUCAAAUAAUAUUUAUUCCAGAUACUUGAAUAUACUUUAAUUAGCAUAUGUUAAUUUAAAUGUUGUUUUAAAUUUUUAUUUCUAAAUUAAAUAAUCUUGAUUAAUUACAAAAAAAUUAUAACCUCGCUGUUCUCAAUAAUUACAUAGGUACUUUUAUUUUUUCUAGCUUAAUUCUUAAAGCUUACAUGUAUUGUUUACAGUAAAUUUGAUGGUGGUUCUUAUUGAUUAUGUAGCAAAAUAACUUGUGCGAUGAUGUCUUGCCGAUUACAUGCAUAUUGCAAAUCCUUAGUACGAAGUACGAAAUCAUAAAAUUAUUGAAAUUGUAGGUAGUACAUAUGUUUAUGUUAACAUUGUAUGAAUGUUGUAUACCUAUAUUAAACGAUAGAUUUAGGUAUUCAAUAUAUAUGUAUGUAAUAAGAUUUCCAUAAUAUAUAACGCACACUAAGGAAACAAAUGCAUUAAAAAUCCUGGAAAGUUUUAAUAUACUACCGAUUUCAUAUUGCUAAAAAGUGCUUACGAAUUCAGGUUUAAUAAAUAAGUAAUUGCACAUUAA